rnacentral:rRNA from 1 species
UGGGGAAUAUUGGACAAUGGGCGAAAGCCUGAUCCAGCAAUGCCGCGUGUAGAAGAAGGCGUCGGCCUUCAAAGCAUAUAUCGGGAAGAUAGGAGUAGGUCAAACCCGGCAACACUGACGUACCCGAGAGAGACC